rnacentral:rRNA from 1 species
AUUGAACGCUGGCGGCAGGCCUAACACAUGCAAGUCGAACGAGUGGCGGACGGGUGAGUCAUGUCUGGGAAACUGCCUGAUGGAGGGGGAUAACUACUGGAAACGGUAGCUAAUACCGCAUACCAUCAGAUUUGCCCAGAUGGGAUUAGGUUGUUGGUGGGGUAACGGCUCCCCAAGGCGACGAUCCCUAGCGGGUCGGAGAGGAUGACCAGCCACACUGGAACUGAGACACGGUCCAGACUCCGAAGGGAGGCAGCAGUGGGGAAUAUUGCACGAUGGGCGAAAGCCUGAUACAGCCAUGCCGCGUGUAUGAAGAAGGCCCUCGGGUUGUAAAGUAAUUUCAGCGGGGAAGCGUUACCCGCAGAAGAAGCACCGGCUAACUCCGUGCCAGCAGCCGCGGUAAUAC